rnacentral:rRNA from 1 species
UACAGAGGAUGCAAGCGUUAUCCGGAAUGAUUGGGCGUAAAGCGUCUGUAGGUGGCUUUUUAAGUCCGCCGUCAAAUCCCAGGGCUCAACUCUGGACAGGCGGUGGAAACUACCAAGCUGGAGUACGGUAGGGGCAGAGGGAAUUUCCGGUGGAGCGGUGAAAUGCGCAGAUAUCGGGAGGAACACCGGUGGCGAAGGCGGGUCUCUGGGCAGUAACCGACGCUGAGGAGCGAAAGCGUGGGGAGCGAACAGG